CUGAAUUCUGGCUCUGCUGCUCUAGGGCUGGUUGACCAAGCAACUUUACCCCUCGAAGCCUCAGUUCACCUGGUCGGUGAAAGGGUACAGCUUACUAAAUGUGAAAGGUCAUCCUGAACAUUAAACCAGAGGACGCAGCAUUUACCAAGGGGUGGUGUGAAUUUCAUCAGCAGAAGGGGCAAGAGAGCAAACUUUCUAUUUUCAUGUAUUUCUUCUAGUGUAUAUUGGACACAAAUAGAAUGAGCCACAUCCUGUCAGUACUUUCAUGGAUGUUAUUGCUUCAGAUGACAUCGAGGUUAAAAAAAUGUCCCCAAAAGUUAAAAAAAGGUGGACGAAUAGUGGGGGAAGGAUUUUUUUGAAGGGGCAGAAAUGGUGAGAGUGGAUGAAUGGCCAAAGUGUAUCAGGAGCUCAUGUGAAGUGCUUAGCAUUGUCCUAAGGGCUCAGCAUGGCCUCCAGGGUGGGUAACUACAAACGAUGAUGAUGAUGGUGAUGAUGAUGAUGAUGGUGAUGGUGAUGGUGAUGAUGAUGAUGGUGAUGGUGGUGAUGGUGAUGGUGGUGAUGGUGAUGGUGGUGAUGGUGAUGAUGGUGGUGAUGGUGAUGGUGAUGAUGGUGAUGAUAGUGAUGAUGAUGGUGGUGAUGGUGAUGGUGGUGAUGGUGAUGAUGGUGGUGAUGGUGAUGGUGGUGAUGGUGAUGAUGGUGGUUAUGGUGAUGAUGAUUGUGAUGAUGAUGAUGGUGAUGGUGAUGGUGAUGAUGGUGAUGGUGGUGAUGAUGAUGAUGAUGAUGAUGGUGAUGGUGAUGAUGGUGAUGAUGGUAGUGAUGGUGAUGAUGAUGAUGAUGGUGAUGAUGAUGAUGAUGGUGAUGAUGGUGAUGAUGGUGAUGAUGAUGAUGUGGUGAUGAUGAUGAUGAUGGUGAUGGUGAUGAUGGUGAUGAUGGUAGUGAUGGUGAUGAUGGUGGUUAUGGUGAUGGUGAUGAUGAUGAUGGUGAUGGUGAUGAUGUGAUGAUGGAUGAUGGUGAUGAUGAUGAUGAUGGUGAUGGUAGUGAUGAUGGUGAUGGUGGUGAUGGUGAUGAUGGUGAUGAUGAUGAUGGGGAUGAUGGUGAUGUUGAUGGUGAUGAUGAUGAUGCUUGUGACUUUUUGUUGUUGAGGGGACACCUCCUGUGUUAUUGAGGAAUGCCAGUUCUUUUGAUUAAAUUAUUGUGCAACCUCAGGCAAAGUCUUCCCCCUUCCUGGGCUUGGACCACUCACCCACUUGGAGAUGUUAGUGGGCUACAGUUUCCUUUUAUUCUCCUGUGACUCUUAGGCCUGCCUGUUUUGGUUAGGUUCUGAAUGGUAAGGCUAUGUUGAGGCAACCUCUGUCCUCAAACCCUGGGGGAAACUUCUGGUAUAAAUACCAGGCCAGAGCCCAAAAAUGGGAACAUCUGGUUAAAGCCUGGCAGGGCCCAGCCACUGCUUCCCAGAGGUGAGAUGGACAUAAUAGUUCUUUUGCUAGACCCGGUGAUUUAUGUACCUUUCCUGGAAGCUCUGGUGUUUGCACUUGUUUGACGUAGGAGGCAGGGGGACCAGGAAGGUAUCAGGAAGAAGGUGUUUAAUGAGUUGGGUAACUAUUAGGUGAGCAGUAGUGAUGGCCAUAGACUGGGAGCUGGGCCAAGGGUAUCUCCCUAGCUGGGAGGUCUGAGAGGUUUUGACCAUAUCAGGGGCCCUGUGACAGCUGCUGCAAUCCUUACCCUUCACUCCAGAGUGUGCAGCUGAGCAACAAACUCACCUGAAAGGGAGAUACUAAUCCUCAAACUGCAUUACUGAAUCCAAUUCACAGCUUGUUUUACCUCUCCGGGAGCAGCUUGGAAUGGGGAGGAGAAGGCCGGGACUCAGAUCAGCCUUGGAUUCAAAUCCUGCCUCAUUAGCUGUGUGAUUUGGGGUGCUAUAUUUUGCCACUCAACCUCAGUAUCUUCCUCUGUAAACUGGAAUGAAUCAAUGCAGCUGAGAUUCCUGAAGAAAAGCCAAAGUUGGAUGGAGGUGGUUGUGGUUGGUACAAAUAUUGGGUAGCAGAGCAGAGAAGAGAA
ensembl:lincRNA